AAAACAUAAUAUGGAAAAUGAAAUCAUAACUGUUUCUUUUACUGCACAUUUCGGCGAUCUUUUAAACAUGUCCACAAUACAUUCAUGUCCCACAUUUUAUUUUUAAAAAGGAAGCUUUAAUCCAUUAAAGACAAACAACACAUUGUUAGAUUAAUUUUUUUUGUUUGGAAAGAGAGAAAGAAAUAAAAUAUAGCCAAGUGCUUAUGCUUUAGCAGUUAGUGCAUGAUUUUAGUAGCAUACAUUAAAUUGAGGGUCCUUUAUUUCCUUUCUAGCCUAUGCAGUGCAGUACCAUGAAAUUCUUGUUGGAUCUUCUGUCUUGCUAUGGCUGCAGUGCCAAACAUGUGGCGGCACCACCACGUGUGGAGGAACCCGGUGUCACAGCUCUGCCUUGCAGCAAGAAGGGUAAGUUAGCAAGGCGGAGCUUGGUGGUGACAACAGUGCCGUGGAGGCCAUCGCUGUGCACAAUUUCUGAAGACGAUGUUAUCAAAGUGGAGAAACCAGAAGGCUCUGCCAAAUUAUGCAACAAACCGAAGGGAGAGGAGAUAUACGAUCGAAGGCCAACUUAGUGCAUUCUAGGUUAUUUUGCAGCUAUCAAGCUCCCUAUGAGACAAGUGUUCACACAUUUUUACCAGUAGGGUUGUUAUUCUAAUGAGUUCAUUCAUGUCUUCUUGUUGAAGCCACAUGUGAAUCCAAAAUGUAAAACAUUUGGUUCUUGUAAGAUGUAUGUAGAAGCACUUCAGUAUAAAUUGAUGCCACAUGAUUUCAUAAAAGAAUCACUUUGAAAGCAGAAUUCUCAAUUUCAUAUGCACCAUUUGAUUGUCGAAUUUGACGAGGGAAAAGAAAAUGAAGUGACAGGUCGUCACUUCAAAUUUGAAAAGGGUCACCUCUAGGCACAGUUUUAAACCAAUGGCACCCCUAAACAACAAUGGAGAAAAAAAUAUAUUCAAAAAAAAAUGAGAGGGCUUUGGAUGUAAUGAGAGUGAGAGAGAAGAAAAACAGUUUUUCACUUCAUUUUCCAUUCUUUUUCCUUUUCACCUCUCAAUCCCCGGCACCAAACAGAGCUUAAUCAAGUACUCUACACAUACUACAAAAUAUUGUACACCAAGUGGUAAUAAAAAUGUCAAAACUGGCGGAUGUUCCACUUCACUUGCAUUGCCUUACCAAUUUGACCAAUGAAACAAUUCAAUAAAUAUAAACCAAACUCCACAACUCAGACACAAAUUUAUGAAACCAUGACCACCAAAAGAAAAUGAGAAGACAACAGCCAAAAAUCUCAUAAAAACCUUAACCAAGGCCUCAGUUUUAAAAUUCAGCAAGCAAACGCCGAUUAGGCUUUUUAUCUCUUCAUGAAUAUGAGAAAUUUCUAAUGGCAAUUACUGAUGGUUAAACAUACAAAUGGGUAUUUAUUUAUUUUUAUUAUCUUUUUCUUGGUGGAGGAGGGGUAGCCAUCAGAUUUGGGGGAAUGCAACACCCGAUCUGGCAAAUCACCGCCAAAUUUUGAUAUUACGUUACAGGAGAAAACAAAACACAAUCAAGUGCCUGCACUCAUCAUCACAUCAGCAUGUGUUUUCACACCAUCAACCCACAUCAACUCAUCUCAAUCUUCAAGGAAGAGAUCGAUGAUCCCAAGUUCUUUCACUGUCUCAUCACUUCUACCAACUGAACCCACAAGUGAUGGUC